rfam:Cavia porcellus supercont2_25 genomic scaffold, whole genome shotgun sequence.
GGGGAUUUAGCUCAGUGGCAUAAGAGCCUGCCUUGCAAGCAGGGUGUUGUGAGUUCAAUCCCCG